UGGAUGAAAUAUGAAGUUUUAUUAAAAGAAAAAGGGGUGAAAAGAACAAAGUUUUGUCCAUCUUUGUUCAUCAUAGCUGAAAGUUAGAGAAGGGAAAGGAGAGGAGAAAGCUCUUGAGUAUUCGGUCAUUAGGAGGAGGAAAAUUGAAGGCGGUUCGUGUCUGGAUCUCGUCAGCAUAUCGUCGCAAACAGAUUUGUGAGUGUGUGAAUGCUCGUGAGGUAAAUCGAUUAAUGUUUUUGGUAAGCUGCAAAAUAUGGACUGCAAAGUGCAUGAUUUCUGUGCCCUCGAUAUUUUUGGGCUUAAUGGGCCAAAAUUGGAAUGAUGGGCCAACGGGCCCAAUUCGGUAAGAACCCUCGGUAGUGAUUCUGUUAGUACGUGAAAGGUAGGAAUAUCCAUGAAAAACUUUAAAAUAGAUAAAUUACUGAAAUACCUUUAAAAGUGAAAAAUUUGCAGUUUUACCCCUAGGAGAUAAAUUACCGAAAUACCCAUAGGGUUAAAUUGACCUAAAUGCAUGUUUGACUGUUGUUAUUUACUGCAUGCCAUGUUGUUAUUAUCUGAUGCAUGGGACUGGGAUAUUGACGGAG